rnacentral:lncRNA from 1 species
AGAAGAUAGCACCCUCAAAGUCCCAAGUUGACUGAUGCCGAAUUCGAUCGAAAAGAAGAGAUCAACUGCCAUGUGUCAUGGUCAAGUUAUAUCAGCAGAGGGUGAAGAAAGCACGCGUUAAGAAGGUCAAGCCUCGUGUGUUUCGAGGGGCCUCAUGCUCAAGAAAGUCCUGUCUUUCGUGCCUGAUUCCAGGGGCAAGUGAACCCCCAAGCUAUGAAUGUCCAUAUGUUGUCAAGAGAGCCUUUUC